UGUAAUACCCGAAAAAUUCAAAUUAACGUCCGAUGUCAUUUUGGAAAUGAUUUCGUAGGCGUGGGCACGAAUACGAAGCUUGAAGGAGUUGUGGAAUUAGUUCGAACGAUUUUAUUUCGAAAACGAACGUUAUUUAGGGGGUCUUAAAAAGUGACUUCUUAUACGUACAGAAUUUGGGAAAACUUUCUUCAUGAAAGUUGUAGAGCUCGUCGAUACGAUCUCGUGCGUAUGUUGAACGCAAUAUUCGGAGUUUGUAUGAAUAAGUUAUGAAUAUUUGAAAAUCGGGAUUUUUUUUCUAUAAAUAUGGAGAAUUUCUGGAAUUUUUCUUAAAUCCCAAAAUUUCCUAUUCUUUCUAUUUUCUCCCCCGGUUUUCUCUCUUCUCUCUCCUCUCCCCCGACCUUUUUCUCUUCUUUCUGGGCGUUCUUCCUCUGCCAGCAGCGCCACCGUCCGGCCACCUCAAGCCGCUCUCGAGGUGUCCACGGCUUCGCCUCGACGUCGUCUAGCUACUGGACGUGACCACUUUCCCCGGAACGGCCUCAAAUCCGGCAAACCGGAGCUGCAAGGUUUGAGCCAAAAACAGUCAACGCCGGUUUUCUCCUAAUUCCGGCCACCAAAACUCACGAUCCUUAGCUCCCUGAACUCACCUCAACAUGCUGAUCAUCAUCCUAGAAGGAUCGCACCUGGAGUGACCGGAUUCACGUUCGUCGGAGCUCGGCCGGCUUUAAUUCGAAAACCACCUUCGAAUCCGAUUUUCUCGAGUUAUAGACCACCUUUUCUUGUGAUUCUUGGCCUGGUGAGUUCACCUUGAGAUUAUUAACAACUCUCAAGAAGGGAUCGAGGCCUGAGGUUGAAGUUUUUACGUCGGAAUUCAAGCUCGCCGGAUUCUGGAAAAUUUCCGACCACGAAGACUUUCGAUCAAGAUAUCGCGAGCUGUAGUGCAUCGUUUUGAUUGAUUCUUUUUCCAGUGGGUUCCCCUUGAUGUUGUUAACAACUCUCUAGAAGGCAUCGAGGCCUGAAAUUGAAUCUUUGACGUCGAAAUCGAGCCUUGCCGGAUUCUGCAAAAUUCUGGAAUUUUUCCGACCACCGAAGCUUUCGAUCGGUAUAUCUCGAGCUACAGACCAUAUUUUUCUGUGAUUCUUGAACCAGUGAGUUCUUCUUGAGUUUCUUAACAACUCUUCAGAAGGAAUCGAAGCCUUAAAUUGACGUUUUUACGUCGAAUUGGAGCUCGCCGUUUUCUGCAGUUUCUCGCCGGUUUCUGGAAAAUUCCGGCCACCUUCAUACUGUUCAAGGUGAUUGACGGUUUGAGUUGGCGGACGAUUGUGAAUCGUAUUUUGAGCUGUUAAGAAGACGCAGCGGGAUUAGAGCGGGUAAUCCUACAGGACAGGAGAACCAGGACGGUGAUCGUGCGGUUAGAGCAAUGGUUAUAGUUUUACAGCAAUUGUAAUAGUGAGGCGAGUUAAGCUCAUUUGAGCAUUACAAUUUGAUUUGGUGGGAGUGUGCUGUAAUAAAUAACUUGAGGAUUUGGGUUAUUGUAAAUUUGAGAGUUGUGAAGUGUGGUUGUUUGUGAGAAAAAAAUUCAGGAUGUUAGUUGUAAUUUGUUAUUAUUCAUGUUUCGGAUU